ACCAGGCGCAGUGUGCACUUCUGUAGUCCCAGCUACUUGGGAGGCUGAGGCAGGAGAAUCGCUUGAACCCAGGAGG
rnacentral:sRNA from 1 species